UUGGUAUAUAGCCAUUUAAGUGAUUGGCAAUGGUUAUUUAUUUUUAUCUAACAAGUUACAUAUCUGAGCCACUGUAUAGGUAGUUGUUACACAAAAACAACUUGAAGUCCACUCACUGGCCUCUGUUCUGCCUAUAUGGAAAAUGGCUUACGUAUCACUUCAAGUAAUAAUAAAUGUAAAUUCGAUAUAACUAAGCUUGCCCCAUUAGGUAUAUGUAGUAAUUCCUAGACUGGCCAGAUGCAAUCUGAGUUUUACUAUAUAACUGAAUUUGAUAGUAUAGAGAUACAGUUUAAG